CGGAUCAGUGGGACGGCUUAUCUCAUGGCAGGGCAUGGCUAUGAAGUUAAGGGCGAGGCAAGGUCCAAGGCAAAGCGGGGCAAAGGCAUGUGUGGACUGGUGGGACGACUUGAUUCCUAGCAAGGCGUGGCUAUGGAAUUAUGGGCGAGGUAAGGUCCGAGACAAAGUUGGGCUAAGGGGCAUGGUGCGGACAAGCUGGAUGCAAGCGUGCUCGGCAUGUGACGAAGAUGUGUGCUCGGCAUGUGAUGAAGCUGGUGCACGGCACAUGACAAAGCCGUGUGCAAAGUAGGCACACGGAAGUUGAAGGCAUGAUCGAAGAUCAUGGGCGAGUGGCUGAAGGCAUGAUCUAAGAUCAUGGGCAGAGUGGCUGAAGACAUGAUCUAAGAUCAUGGGCAUAGUGGCUGAAGACAUGAUCCCCCUUGUAACUGUCCCCUUGUAACUUCCUUUGGCAGCCCCCUCUAUAUAGAUGCAUCUCCUCCUGUGGAGAAGGCAGGCAGAAAAAGUAGAGCUAAGUAGCACUACAUACGUGAGCUAAGAGAGAGUCCUUUGUAUAUUCUGAGAGAAUUUAAU
rnacentral:lncRNA from 1 species